GUGGAAGUGGUUCAGUGGUAGAAUGUUUGUCUGCCAUACAUGUGGCCUGUGUUCAAUUCCCAGCCAACACA
rnacentral:tRNA from 1 species